GGCUUACACUUGAUCUCUGAACUUACAGGUAAGUUCACAUGUUGACAAGUCUUUAUAACUGAUGCC